UGUCACCCAGGCUGGAGUGCAGUGCCACAAUCAUAGCUCACUGCAGCCUCGAACUCUUGGGCUCAAGCCAGUCUCCCAUCUUAGCCUCCUGAGUAGCUGAGACUAUAGGCACAUGCCACCAUGACCAGCUUUUUUUUUUUUAACUUUUUGUAGAGACAGGGUCUCCUUAUGUUGCCCAGGCUGGUCUUGAACAUCUGGGCCCAAGAGAUCCUCUGGCCUUGGCCUCCCAAAGAGCUGGGAUUAUAGGCAUAAAUCACUGUGCUCAGCCUCUUUUACUUUUUUUCUCAUGCACUCAUCGUGUGACCUUGGAAAUAUUAACUCAUACUUUUCAUUUUUUUUUUUUUUUGAGACGGAGUUUUACUCUUUCGCCCAGGCUGGAGUGCAGUGGCAUGAUCUCCGCUCACUGCAACUUCCGCCUUCCAGUUUCAAGCAAUUCUCCUGCCUCAGCCUCCAGAGUAGCUGGGAUUACAGGCAUACACCACCAUGCCUAAUUUUUGUUUGUUUGUUUGUUUGUUUUUUAGUAGAGAUGGGGUUUUGCCAUGUUGGCCAGGCUGGUCUCAAACUCCUGGCCUCAAGUGAUCCACCUGCCUCAGCCUCCCAAAGUGCUGGGAUUACAGGCAUGAGCCACCGUGCCCGGCUAUGGGCUGAACUCUUUAGCCAGCCCCAAAUCCAGCCACAUGACUUUGGCUGGGUCACUCCUUUGAGGCACGAAGACCACAUCACUGGUUGCAUGCUUGGGUGCCCAGUGGGACAGAUAUGAGAAGACCCACUCAAGAGUGGUGAGAAAGAAGGCUGGAUGGGAACCCAGGUGGGGCAGGUUGUCUGCACUUCGUGGCUAUUAUGAGCAAUGCUGCUAUGGACAUUUACAUGUACACGUCUUGCUGUGAAUAUGUUUUCAGUUUUCUUGCUUUUUUUUUUUUUUUUUUUUAAGACAGAGUCUCACUCUGUUGCCCAGGCUGGAGUGCAGUGGCAUGAUCUCGGCUUACUGCAACCUCCACCUCCCGGGUUCAAGAGGUUCUCCUACCUCAGCCUCCCAAAUAGCUGAGACUACAGGCGCCCACCACCACACCUCCCUAAUUUUUUGUAUUUUUAGUACAGAGGGUUUUGCCGUGUUGGCUACACUGGUCUCAAACUCCUGAGCUCAAGUGAUCCGCCCACCUCAGCCUUUCAAAGUGCUGGGAUUACAGGUGUGAGCCACUGUACGCAGCCAUGUUUUCAGUUUUCUUGGGGGAGAUUCCUAGGAGUAGAAUUGCUGGGCUGUGUGUUAACUUCCAGGUCUCCUUAAAGCUUUAGCCUGGGCUGGGUAGAGCGUGGUUUCCACUGCAUUCUCUUAGCCACAGUGAGUUGCAGGUUCAUCCCAGCAUCAGCGGCGGGCGGGAAGUGGGGAUGACACGAGGACCUGAGUGUCCAAAGGGGCUUCAUGGAGUCCUCAUGUGAAGUCCCCAGCAUGGACCCUGACACAUCGUAGGUCAUCAACAAAUGUCACUCCCCAUUGUCACUCUGUUUAGUACUAAGAAUAAUGAUAUAAAACUGGGACAGUAAGGAAAACACAAACUGUUGAGACCUAUAUCCAAAUCUAUUAGUCUGCCUAAUAGAAAAGCCACCAUCAGGAUUUUGGAGAUUACAAGCUCACUUUAGAUUAGCCGUACAGGAGUCAGUCCUGGAGGCUCCCAGAGAUCAGAACAAUCCCAGUGCUUGACAGGAUGGCUGGGAAACAAUACAUGUGAAUGCCGGAAAAUGCGGAACUAAUCUAGGAAAAAGUGUAAGAAGAAAAUAAACAUCAUCUGUCAUUCUAUCAGAGAUAACUGCUGUCAAUAUUUUGGUUUCCUUCCAAUAUUUUUUCUAUGCACUCUGUGCAUAAGUAUGUAUAUUUUAAUAAAAGUAUAAUUAAGAUCACAA